GAAAUGGGGAUACACUCUAUACCCUUUGUGACAUACCUACAUGUUGCUUCGGCGGUCGGCCCCCCGGGCCCCCGGCCCCGCUCACGCGGGGCGUCCGCCGGAGGAUAACCAAACUCUGAUUUAACGACGUUUCUUCUGAGUGGCACAAGCAAAUAAUCAAAACUUUUAACAACGGAUCUCUUGGUUCUGGCAUCGAUGAAGAACGCAGCGAAAUGCGAUAAGUAAUGUGAAUUGCAGAAUUCAGUGAAUCAUCGAAUCUUUGAACGCACAUUGCGCCCGCCAGCAUUCUGGCGGGCAUGCCUGUUCGAGCGUCAUUUCAACCCUCAAGCACUGCUUGGUGUUGGGGCUCUACGGUUGACGUAGGCCCCCAAAACUAGUGGCGGACCCUCUCGGAGCCUCCUUUGCGUAGUAACUUUUGUCUCGCACUGGGAUUCGGAGGGAUUCUAGCCGUUAAACCCCCAAUUUUCUAAAGGUUGACCUCGGAUCAGGUAGGAAUACCCGCUGAACUUAAGCAUAUCAAUAAACGGAGGAAUGAUUUCACUCUAUAACCCUUUGUGAACUACCUACAUGUUGCUUCGGCGGUCGGCCCCCCGGGCCCCCGGCCCCGCUCACGCGGGGCGUCGCCGGAGGAUAACAAACUCUGAUUUACGACGUUUCUUCUGAGGGGCCAGGCAAAUAAUCAAAUUUUUACAACGGAUCUCUUGGUUCGGCAUGAUGAAAAAGAGCGAAAUGCGAAAGUAAGUUAAUGCCAAAUCCUGAAACUCAAUCUUUAAGCAAUUGGGCCGCCGCCAUUUGGGGGGAGCCGGUGUAGCGUAAUACCCCAAGAUGGUGGGGGUUAGGGCUUUCGGUUGACAUAGGCCCCAAACAUAUGGGGGGGACAUCUCGAACCCCGUGGUGUAUGUAACUUUUUCUUCCACCUGGAAUUGUAAGGAUCUGACCCCUUAACCCCCACAUUUUUCAAGAAGAGUUGUAACGCCGCUGCAGAAUGAGAGAUGACGAGGUA
rnacentral:rRNA from 1 species